ACCUGGUUGGCUCAGUUGGUACAGCAUGAGACUCUUAAUCUCAGGGUUGUGAGUUCGAGCCCCACAUUGAGUA
rnacentral:tRNA from 1 species